UGCCUCUUAUCUCUCACUCGAACCUCUCCAUACUCUUUAGAACUCUCAGACUUGUCUCUCUCUCGUCGCUCUCUCUCUCCGUCUCACUCUCUCGACACUCUCAACUGACUCUUAGAACUCACUCUCUCUUGCGCGCUCUCUCUCUGACUCAGUCUCUCUCGUUCGCUCUCUAUUUUAGAUUGGAUCGUGGGAUCUUUUCCUACAAGCACCGAACAUCACUGGUUGAAGGUUGGUGUUCAAAGAAGUGGGUUGAGAACUCUUCCACACAGUGAAGCUAUAACAUUAGCUGUUGAUUGGCACCCGACUUUACCCAUUUCCGUUAGUGUAUCAGCUGAUAACUCGCACACAACGUUCUGCCUGGAGGAUCUGUCACCGACUUUGGGUGACCACAUCAUUUCUCUGUUCUUCCUGAAGGUGUCUUGCUUGCUACCAACAUUCACUCAAAAAGCCACUGGAACAAGAAUGGAGAUCGUUAUUCAAAUUGCAGGGAAAAUAGUAGAGUACACUUUUGCACCUGUUGGACAAUGGCUAUGCCAUUCAUUUCACUACAACAACGUCAUGGAGAAUCUGAAGAAUCAGGAAAAGACAUUGCGGGCUGUUCAGGACAAGGUGCAACACACAAUUGCUGCUGCUUCAAGAAACGGCCAGGAAAUUGAAGUAAUUGUUAGAUUGUGGUUGGAGAAGGUAGAUGAGGCCACCACGAAACUUAGCAAAAUCGAUGAAGAAGCACGUAACAGGAGCUCUAAUGCGGCAUGCCUAAACUUGAAACAUCGACAUCAAUUAAGUCGGGAAGCAAAGAAGUUGGUGGAAAAUAUUGCCCAACUUCUUGACGAAUAUCAUAAAAAUGAAAACUUUGUAAACGUUGGGCAUCAUCCUCCUCUAGAAGGAUUGGAGAUGACAGGAAACAAGGAUUACAUGGCCAUGGAGUCGAGAAUGACUGCGGUGAAGGAGAUUAUGGAGGCAUUGAGAAAUGCUGAUAUCGACAAGAUCGGGGUGUGGGGGAUGCCUGGAGUUGGAAAGAGUACUCUGAUGAAAGAAAUUGCCAGACAAGCCAGGGAAGAAAAGUUAUUCAAUGAGGUGGUUAUGGCAUUUGUGACAAACAGCCCAGAUGUAAGGCGAAUUCAAGGAGAGAUUGCAUACACGCUAGGUCUAAAUUUUGAUCAAGAAACUGAAAAAGGGAGAGCAAGUCAGCUGAAUCAGAGGCUAUCAAAGGACAAGAAGAUACUUGUUAUCCUAGAUGAUAUAUGGAAGGAACUUGAUUUACAGGAAAUAGGAAUUCCUUCCGAAGGAUGCAAGGUAGUAAUGACAUCCAGAGAUCGUGAUGUAUUAAUUUGUGGAAUGGGUGCCCGAAAAGAUAUUAAACUUGAAAUUUUACAGGAAGCAGAAGCAUUUAACUUAAUUGAGAAGAUUGCGGGUGAUUCUUUCAAAGAUCAGCCUGCAGCGAGACGCAUUGCAACUGAGAUAGCUAAAAAGUGUGAGGGUCUUCCUAUUGCACUUGUAAUAGUUUCAAAGGCAUUAAAAAAUAAGAGUUUAGGUGAAUGGAAGGACACCCUGCGCCGACUAAAAACCCCCGCUCCCGAAAACAUCACAGGCAUGUUGGGAAAAAUAUAUUCUCCAAUAGAGGUGAGUUAUAACAAUCUUGAAUCUCCGGAGUUAAAGUCCCUCUUUUUGCUUUGUGCACAGUUGCCUUACUUCCUUUUCUAUCGCGACUUGCUGAUAUACUCUUAUGGUUAUGGUUUAUCUCAUGGCAUUAAUACAUUAGAAGAAGCCAGAGACACGCAAGAUACACUACUUCGUAAACUAAAAGACUCUUGUCUACUGCUAGAACGUUCUGAUGGAUUUUGUAUGCAUGAUCUUGUUCGUGAUGUCGCUAUAAUAAUUGCAUCAAAGGAACGUAAUAUGUUUGUCAUGAGAGACGGUGGUGGGCUAAAAGAAUGGCCGGAUGUGGAUGCACUCAAAAGAUGCCAGGCGUUCUCUAUUUUUGAACAACUUCCCAAUGAAAUGGAAUUGGAAUGUCCCGAAUUAAUAUUCUUCCAUAUUUCUUCUAAAAGUUCUUCGCAAAUACCGAACACUUUGUUUCAAGGAAUGGAAAAGCUCAAAGUUUUGGAUUUGACAAAUAUGCGACUUACAUCACUUCCUUCGUCUCUUCUUGUCCUUCGAAACCUACAAACAUUAUGUCUGGAUGAUUGUAUGUUGGAAGACAUAUCUGGUAUUGGAGAACUCAAGAAUUUAGUUGUUCUUAGUCUUCUUUACUCUCAAAUUUCAAAAUUGCCUAGAGAAAUAGGGUCGUUGGUUCGUUUGCGGAUGUUAGAUUUGAGCAAAUGCUACAAACUUGAGAUGAUUCCUCCAAAUGUCAUAUCAAGCUUGGUCAAAUUAGAAGAGUUGUAUAUGGGAAACAGCAUUGUGCAAUGGGAGGUUGAAGGUCUCAAUGAUGAAAGAAAAAAUGCCAGCCUUGCUGAGCUAAAGCAUUUGUCAAAUCUUAACACUUUAGAGAUACAAAUUCCAGAUGUCAGCAAACUACCGAAAGACUUCAAUUUCGAAAAGUUGGUGAGAUACAAAAUAUGCAUAGGAGAUGUCUGGGACUGGUCUGACAAUGUUCAAUCCUCAAGAACACUAAAACUCAAGUUGAAUUCAAGCAUUCAAUCAGAGUUUUGGAACAAAAUGCCAUCGAAUAGAGUGGAAAUUCUUCAUUUAGAGGGCCGGUUGAAUGGUGUUAUGAGUGUCAUACCCGAAACAGAUACAGAAGUAUUUCAACAAAUGAAGUAUCUCCGCAUACAUAAUGGUGUUCAGCUUAAGUAUAUCGUUAACUUGAGCACAUCAGUUGUUGUGUUUCCUACCUUGGAGACAUUCAUUCUCAGUAAUAUGAUUAAAUUGGAAGAAAUAUGUCAGGGCGAACUUCCAUCGACAUCCUUUAAAAACUUGAGAGUUUUGAAGUUAGAAAAUUGUGAAAAAUUAAGAUUUGUCUUCUCAUCAUCCAUAGUUAGAGGCCUUUCACUACUUGAAAAAUUGAAAAUAAGAAGAUGCAACAGCAUGGGAGCGAUAGUUGUGAAAGAAGAAAAAGACGGAAUAGAAGAUGGAGAUGUAGUAUUGUUCCAUCAGCUGCAAACCUUGGUGCUAGAGGACCUUCCAGAGCUCGUGAGCUUCUUAAGCACAAGAAGUUCAUUUAUGACUGAUUGCGGGCAAAUCAUUGCAGAGGGCAACCACGAUCUUCACAUGCCACUUCUACAUUAUCAGCUUUCAUUCCCUAGUUUGAAAACCCUGCAGCUGAAACGUCUGCCCAAAAUAAAGCAUGUUUGGAGUAAAGAAAUCUCCAGGUUUCCAGAUCUACUUGAUUUAUGUGUUGAUAGAUGUGAGAAUUUGAAAAGUUUGUUUCCAGUAGCUGCAGUGGCUACAAGUCUAUCGAAAUUGAAGUCUCUUGAGAUAAGAAAUUGUGAGGUACUGGAGGAAAUUGUCCAGAGAGAAGAUGGGACGGAUCCAACAAUGAGGAUUUUAUUCACUAGCCUAACUUAUCUAAGUCUUGAAGGGUUGCCAAAACUCAAGUGGUUUUUUCAAGGGGUGCGUACUUUGGAAUCGUCGUCAUCUAAGGAAUUACAUGAGCAGGGAGGCACACUUUUCGGGGUUGAUGAGGUUUCCUUCCCUAGCUUGCAAACACUGCAUAUGAAGGGUCUUCCCAAAAUAAAGCACGUAUGGAACUGUGGUCAAGAACCCAAAACAGUUUUCAAAUGUGUAGAGCAAUUGAAAACACUUUGGAUUAAGAAUUGUGAGGUACUGGAGGAAAUUGUUGGAGGUGGAGGAGGAGCAGGAGCAGUAGCAAGGACAUUAUUGGAGUUCCCUCGAGUAACAAAUUUGAGACUUGAAAAUUUAAAGAGACUCAAGUGGUUUUACAAAGGAGUGCAUGUUUCAAAAUGGCCCAUGUUGGAAGAGAUUCAGAUUGAAGGAUGCGAGAAAGUGGAGAUAUUUGCUUCAGGAGUUGUGAGCUUUGAAGAAACAGUUGAAGAUAGGCCGUCUGAGAUGUCCAUUAAACAACCCAUUUUCUUGGUGGAUGAGCUCUCGUUUUCGAGCUUGAAGAAGUUGCUCAUUCAGAACAUGGAUAAGUUGGAAAUUAUAUGGCAGGAUCAAGUGGCUGCGAGUUCUUUUUCCAAAAAUAUUCAAGAUGUGGAGAUUGAUGGAUGUGAAAAGUUGUUGCACGUCUUUCAAUCUAAUUUUCGUACAACAACAAUAUUAUCGCAACGUCUGACUCGUCUACAUAUAAGGAACUGCAGAUCAUUAGAAAGUAUAUUUAGAAAUAUGGAGGGGCAUAAUGGUAAAGAACCACAAGUUUUAAUAGCUCCAAGUUCAGGGAAGGAAGAAAGUGUAGCGAGAGAAGACGGAACAGCCAGACAUAUUGAGUUCCCCAUACUAACUCAAAUGAGACUUUGUGGAUUGCCAAAACUCAAGUGGAUUUUGGAAGGGGUGGAUACUAUUUUGGAAUGUCCUUCAUUGGAAAAAUUAGAACUGUUCCAAUGUGAACAAGUACUGAUUUGGGCUUCAAAAUUUGGGAGCAGCAGUAGUAGUCAACAGAACCAACUCCAGACUUGCAUUCAACUUCCACUGCCAAAUCUGUUGGAACUUCAAGUAUGGAUUAGUUGGCGGGAGGAAAUAUUCCCUUAUGAACUUGUUGAUCCAGUCCCACGAUUAAGACAACUACAUCUCCGAAGUCUACCUAUGCUUACACAUUUGUGGAAAGAAGACAGUACCCAGCCAUGCCCACUUUUUCAUAAUCUGGAAUUUCUUCAUCUGUCACGAUGCAGAAAAUUGAAAAACAUAGUGCCAUCCUCGGUAUUUCUUCAAAAUUUGACAGAAUUGCACAUAUCAUAUUGUGAUGGAUUGAUCAAUUUAUUAACAUCCACAACUGCCAAAACUCUGGUGCAACUCAAAAAAAUGACUGUGAUGGAAUGCAAAAGGAUUACAGAAAUUGUAGCAAUGGAGGAUGGUGAAGAACAUGUGGCAAUUACUUUCAACAAAUUAGCACACUUAGAACUUGUAGACUUACCAAACCUCACACACUUUUGCUCUGGACCUUAUUCCUUUGGAGAAUCUUUGAAGAAUGUAAUUGUGACACGUUGUCCCGAGAUGAAGCCUUUAUGUCGCGGAGUCUCAAGUACACCAGAGCUAAAAGGAGUAUAUCAUACUUGAAUUUGCAUUGGGAGUCAAAUCACUACGAUACAGCUCAAUUGUUAUUCAGAGAAAGGAACCCAAGCCUUCACAGAUGAGAGGAAGCUAGUAUGUAAAGAUG